rnacentral:rRNA from 1 species
GCGGGUCUGAGAGGAUGAUCCGCCACACUGGAACUGAGACACGGUCCAGACUCCUACGGGAGGCAGCAGUGGGGAAUUUUGGACAAUGGGGGCAACCCUGAUCCAGCCAUGCCGCGUGAGUGAAGAAGGCCUUCGGGUUGUAAAGCUCUUUCAGCCGGGAAGAAAACGCAUGGGUUAAUACCCUGUGUCGAUGACGGUACCGGAAUAAGAAGCACCGGCUAACUACGUGCCAGCAGCCGCGGUAAUACGUAGGGUGCGAGCGUUAAUCGGAAUUACUGGGCGUAAAGCGUGCGCAGGCGGUCUUGUAAGACAGGCGUGAAAUCCCCGGGCUUAACCUGGGAACUGCGUUUGUGACUGCAAGGCUAGAGUACGGCAGAGGGGGGUGGAAUUCCACGUGUAGCAGUGAAAUGCGUAGAGAUGUGGAGGAACACCAAUGGCGAAGGCAGCCCCCUGGGUCGAUACUGACGCUCAUGCACGAAAGCGUGGGUAGCAAACAGGAUUAGAUACCCUGGUAGUCCACGCCCUAAACGAUGUCAACUAGGUGUUGGGAGGGUAAAACCUUUUAGUACCGGAGCUAACGCGUGAAGUUGACCGCCUGGGGAGUACGGCCGCAAGGUUAAAACUCAAAGGAAUUGACGGGGACCCGCACAAGCGGUGGAUGAUGUGGAUUAAUUCGAUGCAACGCGAAAAACCUUACCUACCCUUGACAUGCCAAGAACUUUCCAGAGAUGGAUUGGUGCCCGAAAGGGAACUUGGACACAGGUGCUGCAUGGCUGUCGUCAGCUCGUGUCGUGAGAUGUUGGGUUAAGUCCCGCAACGAGCGCAACCCUUGUCGUUAAUUGCCAUCAUUUAGUUGGGCACUUUAACGAGACUGCCGGUGACAAACCGGAGGAAGGUGGGGGUGACGUCAAGUCCUCAUGGCCCUUAUGGGUAGGGCUUCACACGUCAUACAAUGGUCGGUACAAAGGGUCGCCAAGCCGCGAGGUGGAGCCAAUCCCAGAAAGCCGAUCGUAGUCCGGAUCGCAGUCUGCAACUCGACUGCGUGAAGUCGGAAUCGCUAGUAAUCGUGGAUCAGAAUGUCACGGUGAAUACGUUCCCGGGUCUUGUACACACCGCCCGUCACACCAUGGGAGCGGGUUCCGCCAGAAGUAGGUAGCCUAACCGCAAGGAGGGCGCUUACCACGGCGGGGUUCGUGACUGGGGUGGAGUCGUAACAAGGUA